AUUGAACGCUGGCGGCAGGCUUAACACAUGCAAGUCGAGCGGAGAUGAGGUGCUUGCACCUUAUCUUAGCGGCGGACGGGUGAGUAAUGCUUAGGAAUCUGCCUAUUAGUGGGGGACAACAUUCCGAAAGGAAUGCUAAUACCGCAUACGUCCUACGGGAGAAGGCAGGGGAUCUUCGGACCUUGCGCUAAUAGAUGAGCCUAAGUCGGAUUAGCUAGUUGGUGGGGUAAAGGCCUACCAAGGCGACGAUCUGUAGCGGGUCUGAGAGGAUGAGCCGCCACACUGGGACUGAGACACGGCCCAGACUCCUACGGGAGGCAGCAGUGGGGAAUAUUGGACAAUGGGGGGAACCCUGAUCUAGCCAUGCCGCGUGUGUGAAGAAGGCCUUAUGGUUGUAAAGCACUUUAAGCGAGGAGGAGGCUACUGAGACUAAUACUCUUGGAUAGUGGACGUUACUCGCAGAAUAAGCACCGGCUAACUCUGUGCCAGCCGCCGCAGUAAAAC
rnacentral:rRNA from 1 species